rnacentral:rRNA from 1 species
AUGUUGGGGGUUGGUGAGAUGAACCACGGGCUCGAGGCGAAUGGGCACGGCAAGCCGGUGGCCAUGGCGAAGCAGCAGCAGCUGCAGCAGAGUGGAGAUCACGAGGAGACCCAGUGGUACGAGGAGGAGGUCCAUGACGACCUCAAGUUCUGCUACACCUUGAACAGCGUGCUGCACCGAGGGACAAGCAAGUACCAGGAGAUUGCCCUGGUUGAUACGAAGUGUUUCGGGAAGGCUCUGAUAAUCGACGGGAAGAUGCAGAGCGCGGAGGCCGACGAGUUCAUCUACCAUGAGUCCUUGAUACACCCGCCGCUUCUAUUCCAUCCCAACCCGACCACGGUGUACAUCAUGGGAGGCGGCGAGGGCUCCGCGGCGAGGGAGGCGCUGAGGCACAAGACCGUCCAAAGGGUGGUGAUGUGCGACAUGGACGAGGAGGUGGUGCACUUCUGUCGGACGCACCUGAGCGUCAACUGGGAAGCGUUCGCCAGCGACAAGCUCUGCCUCGUCAUCAACGAUGCCAGGGCUGAGCUAGAGAAGAGGCGGGAGGAGAAGUUCGACGUGAUAGUGGGGGACCUCGCGGAUCCCAUGGAGGGAGGCCCCUGCUACCAGCUCUACACCAGGUCCUUCUACGAGCAGGUCCUCAAGCCCAGGCUGCACGACGGUGGCAUCUUCGUCACACAGGCUGGACCAGCCGGCGUCCUGACGCACAAGGAGGUCUUCUCGUCCAUCUACAACACCCUUAGGCACGUCUUCAAGCAUGUGAAAGCAUACACUGCCCAUGUGCCAUCCUUCGCUGACACCUGGGGCUGGGUCAUGGCAUCAGAUCACCCCUUCACGCUCACCGCCCAGCAGAUCAACGAGAGGAUCACGGACAGGAUCGACGGCGAGCUGUCGUACCUCGACGGGGAGACCCUUAUUUCUUCAACCACUCUCAACAAGACCGUCUUCCACUCGCUAUUGAAUGAGACGCAUGUGUACGCGGAGGAUGACGCGAGGUUCGUCCACGGACAUGGGACUGGGAGGGCAGGCCAUGCUUAA